rnacentral:tRNA from 1 species
GCUCUGGUGGCCCAAAGGUUAAGCAUUUGGCUGCUAAUUGAAAGGUUGGUGGUUCAAACCCACCCAGCUGCU